rnacentral:lncRNA from 1 species
GUAUCCUCGGGAAUAACAACCGGAAUAACGGGAAUUCCGGGAAAUUCGGGAAUUUCGGGUGUUCCCAGGGGGGUUUGGGGUGUUCCUGGGGGGGUCUGGGGUGUCCCCGGGGCUGGGGACGGUGACAGCGCGGUGGCACCAGCGCCACGACUACUGGCUGCUGGCCGGCAUCGUCCUGUAUCCUCGGGAAUUCCGGGAAAUUCGGGAAUUCCGGGAAUUUCGGGUGUUCCUGAGGGGGUUUGGGGUGUUCCCGUUGGAUUUUGGGUGUUCCCGUUGGGAUUUGGGGUGUUCCCGUUGGAUUUUGGGUGUUCCUGUUGUGAUUUUGGGUGUUCCCAUGGGAAUUUUGGGUGUUCCUGUUGUGAUUUUGGGUGUUCCCAUGGGAAUUUUGGGUGUUGCUGUUGGGAUUUUGGGUGUUCCUGUUGGAUUUUGGGUGUUGCUGUUGGAUUUUGGGUGUUCCUGUUGGAUUUUGGGUGUUCCUGUUGUAUUUGGGGUGUUCCCAUUGGAAUUUUGGGUGUUUUUUUUGGAUUUUGCGUGUUCCUGUUGGAUUUUGGGUGUCCCCAGCAUCUGCCGGGUGUUGUGACCUCGCUGGGUUGGUGACAGUGACAGCAAGGGGAGGGUGACACGGUGACAACGUGACAGGGUGACAACGUGACACGGUGACAACGUGACACGGUGACAAUAUGACACGGUGACAAUGUGACACGGUGACAAUGUGACAGGGUGACAACGUGACACGGUGACAACGUGACACAGUGACAAUGUGACAUGGUGACCCCUGAGGUGAUGCAGUGACAAUGUGACACGUGAGGUGACACGGUGACAAUGUGACACGGUGACAGGGUGACACGGUGACAGGGUGACAUGGUGACAGGGUGACACAGUGACAAUGUGACACAGUGACAACGUGACACAGUGACAAUGUGACAUGGUGACAAUGGGACACGGUGACACAUGUCCUUAGCGCUCAGCCACGGCUUUGGGGUCAAACUUGGUGACAUGAGGGGCAGUGUCAGGGUGACACUGUGACAAUGUGACCUGUGAGGUGACAGUGUGACAGGGUGUCAGGGUGACACACACGGUGACAAUGUGACACGGUGACGUUCCUUAGCGCUCAGCCACGGCUUUGGGGUCAAACCCAGUGACACCUGGGGUGGUGACAGGGUGACAAUGAGACAAUG